rnacentral:misc_RNA from 1 species
UACGAGUGCCCCGAGCGUUACCCGGAUUCAUUGGGCGUAAAGGGUCCGUAGGCGGCCCAACGCAUCCCCCGUCAAAUCUCAGGGCUCAACUCUGAGGCUGCGGGGGAGAUGGUUGGGCUUGAGGCUGGGAGAGGCAAGCGGAACUGCCGGUGUAGGGGUAAAAUCCGUUCAUAUCGGCAGGAACACCAAAGGCGAAGGCAGCUUGCUGGAACAGAUCUGACGCUGAAGGACGAAAGCGUGGGGAGCGAAUGGG